rnacentral:rRNA from 1 species
GACGAACGCUGGCGGCGUGCUUAACACAUGCAAGUCGAACGGAAAGGCCCUGCUUUUGUGGGGUGCUCGAGUGGCGAACGGGUGAGUAACACGUGAGUAACCUGCCCUUGACUUUGGGAUAACUUCAGGAAACUGGGGCUAAUACCGGAUAGGAGCUCCUGCUGCAUGGUGGGGGUUGGAAAGUUUCGGCGGUUGGGGAUGGACUCGCGGCUUAUCAGCUUGUUGGUGGGGUAGUGGCUUACCAAGGCUUUGACGGGUAGCCGGCCUGAGAGGGUGACCGGCCACAUUGGGACUGAGAUACGGCCCAGACUCCUACGGGAGGCAGCAGUGGGGAAUAUUGCACAAUGGGCGGAAGCCUGAUGCAGCAACGCCGCGUGCGGGAUGACGGCCUUCGGGUUGUAAACCGCUUUCGCCUGUGACGAAGCGUGAGUGACGGUAAUGGGUAAAGAAGCACCGGCUAACUACGUGCCAGCAGCCGCGGUGAUACGUAGGGUGCGAGCGUUGUCCGGAUUUAUUGGGCGUAAAGGGCUCGUAGGUGGUUGAUCGCGUCGGAAGUGUAAUCUUGGGGCUUAACCCUGAGCGUGCUUUCGAUACGGGUUGACUUGAGGAAGGUAGGGGAGAAUGGAAUUCCUGGUGGAGCGGUGGAAUGCGCAGAUAUCAGGAGGAACACCAGUGGCGAAGGCGGUUCUCUGGGCCUUUCCUGACGCUGAGGAGCGAAAGCGUGGGGAGCGAACAGGCUUAGAUACCCUGGUAGUCCACGCUGUAAACGGUGGGUACUAGGUGUGGGGUCCAUUCCACGGGUUCCGUGCCGUAGCUAACGCUUUAAGUACCCCGCCUGGGGAGUACGGCCGCAAGGCUAAAACUCAAAGGAAUUGACGGGGCCCCGCACAAGCGGCGGAGCAUGCGGAUUAAUUCGAUGCAACGCGUAGAACCUUACCUGGGUUUGACAUGGAUCGGGAGCGCUCAGAGAUGGGUGUGCCUCUUUUGGGGUCGGUUCACAGGUGGUGCAUGGCUGUCGUCAGCUCGUGUCGUGAGAUGUUGGGUUAAGUCCCGCAACGAGCGCAACCCUUGUUCACUGUUGCCAGCACGUUAUGGUGGGGACUCAGUGGAGACCGCCGGGGUCAACUCGGAGGAAGGUGGGGAUGACGUCAAGUCAUCAUGCCCCUUAUGUCCAGGGCUUCACGCAUGCUACAAUGGCUGGUACAGAGAGUGGCGAGCCUGUGAGGGUGAGCGAAUCUCGGAAAGCCGGUCUCAGUUCGGAUUGGGGUCUGCAACUCGACCUCAUGAAGUCGGAGUCACUAGUAAUCGCAGAUCAGCAACGCUGCGGUGAAUACGUUCCCGGG